rnacentral:rRNA from 1 species
GGUGAAAAGCACCCCGGAAGGGGAGUGAAAUAGAACCUGAAACCGUGUGCUUACAAGUAGUCAGAGCCCGUUAAUGGGUGAUGGCGUGCCUUUUGUAGAAUGAACCGGCGAGUUACGAUUUGAUGCAAGGUUAAGCAGUAAAUGUGGAGCCGUAGCGAAAGCGAGUCUGAAUAGGGCGUUUAGUAUUUGGUCGUAGACCCGAAACCAGGUGAUCUACCCUUGGUCAGGUUGAAGUUCAGGUAACACUGAAUGGAGGACCGAACCGACUUACGUUGAAAAGUGAGCGGAUGAACUGAGGGUAGCGGAGAAAUUCCAAUCGAACCUGGAGAUAGCUGGUUCUCUCCGAAAUAGCUUUAGGGCUAGCCUCAAGUGAUGAUUAUUGGAGGUAGAGCACUGUUUGGACGAGGGGCCCCUCUCGGGUUACCGAAUUCAGACAAACUCCGAAUGCCAAUUAAUUUAACUUGGGAGUCAGAACAUGGGUGAUAAGGUCCGUGUUCGAAAGGGAAACAGCCCAGACCACCAGCUAAGGUCCCAAAAUAUAUGUUAAGUGGAAAAGGAUGUGGCGUUGCCCAGACAACUAGGAUGUUGGCUUAGAAGCAGCCAUCAUUUAAAGAGUGCGUAAUAGCUCACUAGUCGAGUGACACUGCGCCGAAAAUGUACCGGGGCUAAACAUAUUACCGAAGCUGUGGAUUGUCCUUUGGACAAUGGUAGGAGAGCGUUCUAAGGGCGUUGAAGCAUGAUCGUAAGGACAUGUGGAGCGCUUAGAAGUGAGAAUGCCGGUGUGAGUAGCGAAAGACGGGUGAGAAUCCCGUCCACCGAUUGACUAAGGUUUCCAGAGGAAGGCUCGUCCGCUCUGGGUUAGUCGGGUCCUAAGCUGAGGCCG